UGGUCUAGUGGUCAGAACACUAGCCUUGUAAGCUUGGGGUCCCGGGUUCAAUUCCCGG
rfam:Zootermopsis nevadensis contig19013, whole genome shotgun sequence.